rnacentral:tRNA from 1 species
AGCUCAGUGGACUGAGCGCCACGCUACGAACGUGGAAGUCGGGAGUUCGACUCUCUCCAGGC